UACGUAGGGUCCGAGCGUUGUCCGGAUUCAUUGGGCGUAAAGAGCACGCAGGCGGUUUGGCAAGUCGGAUGUGAAAACCCGAAGCUCAACUUCGGGCCUGCAGCCGAAACUGCCCGACUAGAGGUAGGUAGGGGAGAUCGGAAUUCCUGGUGUAGCGGUGAAAUGCGCAGAUAUCAGGAGGAACACCGGUGGCGAAGGCGGAUCUCUGGGCCUUGCCUGACGCUCAGGUGCGAAAGCUAGGGGAGCGAACAGG
rnacentral:rRNA from 1 species